rnacentral:lncRNA from 1 species
AAUAAAUCAUUCGGAAGUAAAUUUGGGGUCCAGGUGGUGGUAGACCUUGGCCAAACCCAACAAAUGCCAAUUCAAUACCAUACUCCUCAGCAUCUCCUGGGAAUUAUGUAGGUCCUCCAGGAGGUGGAGGGCCACCAGGAACACCCAUCAUGCCUAGUCCAGCAGAUUCAACCAACUCUGGCGAUAACAUGUAUACUUUAAUGAAUGCAGUACCUCCUGGACCUAACAGACCUAAUUUUCCAAUGGGCCCUGGGUCAGAUGGUCCCAUGGGUGGAUUAGGAGGAAUGGAGUCACAUCACAUGAAUGGCUCUUUAGGCUCAGGAGAUAUGGACAGUAUUUCCAAGAAUUCUCCCAAUAAUAUGAGCCUGAGUAAUCAACCGGGCACUCCAAGGGAUGAUGGCGAAAUGGGGGGAAAUUUCUUAAAUCCUUUUCAGAGUGAGAGUUACUCCCCUAGCAUGACAAUGAGCGUGUGAUCCAUUACCAAGUCUCCUCAUGAAAACCACAGUGAGUCAGCCCUUCACAGAACUACUACGGAAGAAAAUUAUUCAUCACAGUGUACAGUUAAACAAAGGAAUCUCAGUCACACCAAACCAACCUUUUUAUUUCCUGCUCUCUCCCCUCUUUUGUGAAGAAAGCGGGUCCAAACGUGAUUCAAACAACUGUACGGAGUGGCAUAUUAGAAUUGCCCUAAACUGAACUGCAAAUAAUUAUGUGUGUAUGUAUAUGUGUGGGAAAGAGAAUGUACUGUAUAUGUGUAUGUUAUACAGACAUAUGCACAUACAUACAUUGACCCACAGGACAUUGUAAAAUAUUAUCACAUGACAUCUUAAGUAGAAAUAAGUAGGGACUUUUAUUCCAUCCUUUUUUUCACGUUUACAUUUUAAUUAUUACAAGUUGCUCCUGCCCCCUCCCUGAACUAUUUUGUGCUGUGUAUAUCACUGCUUUAUAUAAGUUAUUUUUUAAGGUGAACUCAGAUGUUAUGGUUUUGUAAAUGUCUGCAAUCAUGGAUAGGAAUAAAAUCGCUUAUUUGAGAGCUUUCAUUAAAUUGCGUCUGAUGCAAGUUAUCCUGUGAAUCACAAAGUGUACUGUCUCAAAAAAUAGAAGAAAAUGUGUCUUCGUCUUUAUGUUGAAUCAAACAAUUUCUCAGUUACCUUCAGUGAAAAGUAUUUUUUUAAUUUUUAUUUGAGAAAAACACUUCAAAUCAGUAAAAGCUUAACUGGGGCCUCACACAGUAUAUUUCUGCAAUAACUGCUUUAAACGGAGUUCUUGAUUUGUUUGUCUUAGAUGAUACAGAAAUCAUUAAAUAGCCCAAAUCAUUUAGACCAUAGCAAUAAAGUGACCGGGGUUGUCAUAUUUUUAGCAACAUCUUUUCUCUUUAACAUGAUGAAGCCCAAAAGUGAUAGCAAAAGCAUUUGCUUGAAUUUGUCACUUCUCACCAGGAGUACUAGAGGUAAAUUUUUAAUAACAUACUAAUGUUAAAUGGUAUCUGGUUUUUAUUCAGACUUUUUGUGAGCAUAUUCUUAUAGACACUAGAAAUAAAUACAUAGAAGGAGACUUUGAGCACAAGGGAGAAGAGAGUUAUUAGCACUCCUGAGGCCUCUGGAAUGCUGCUUUUCUAUCCAGGUAUCUUGCUUGCUACCAGCAGAAUUGACUGGUAUUGGUUCUCACUGGCCAGGGAGCCCCUGCUCUGUUCCUGGAAUAUAAGGCUUUUAUUCAGGAGCAAAUCAUUGAUAGUAACUUUGCUUUAUCUAGCCAUUGACUUCAGCAGGCUAAAACUACAUUGUGUAACUGACUGUUCAAAAAAGAAUAAGUAAAUUUUUUUUAAUCUAAUUCCCUUAUGGAAAGCACCUUGCUCUAUGGCACUUUCCAGAUCUUUUGGGAU